rnacentral:misc_RNA from 1 species
CACGUACUGGGCGAGCGUUAUUCGGAAUCACUGGGCUUACAGGGUGCGUAGGCGGCCGGCCAGGUCGGGUGUGAAAGGCCUUUGCUCAACGAAGGCACUGCGCCCGAAACCUGUCGGCUCGAGUCAGCUAGGGGUCCGCGGAACUUCCGGUGGAGCGGUGAAAUGUGUUGAUAUCGGAAGGAACGCCGGUGGCGAAAGCGGCGGACUGGGGCUGGACUGACGCUGAGGCACGAAAGCCAGGGGAGCGAACGGG